rnacentral:lncRNA from 1 species
CUCUUACAAUUUUUAUUCGUUUAAUAAAAAAAAAAUACACACAAGGAAUAAAUCUGCGAGGAAUUUGCUGUCCUGAUUUAAGGGAUGGGUUUGGGUGUUCGGGUGUGGGGGUUUGCCCAUUUUGAAAUAGUCAAUGCACAUACCUCAGGGACUGCAUCUGGUGCUAGGUGUUUCUCUGCAUCCAGCAGAAAUUUCUUGCCAUCAGAUACAGGGAAAAGUAUCAUUGCAAAAGCUACGAGGUAAAGAAACCUGAGGUGUAUAUGUUCCUACUUUCAGCACAUACUUUUAAUAAGCCACUAUAAAUCAUUUUCUGCAUGUACAGAAUAAGGCAUAAGUAAGCACUUUUUCUUAGAUGACUUCACGUCUUGCACCUUUUAAUAUUUUACCAUGAUCAUAAGUUACAAAUACAGUGUAUGAAAAAAAUCUGUUUAUUGAUAUAAUCAGCACAUCUUUAAAAAACAAACAUACUAAUGUCAAAACACAUUUUAAAAAUCCGAUUGAUCAUUUAGCCCUGCCUGUUCCUUAACUUCAAGGAAAGAAUACUUAGUAGAAUCAGAAGUAUAAUAAUCUCAUAUGUUACUCCAAAGAAAAGGCAUGUGGAGAGUGGCAGGCAUGUUAAAUUUCUCGUUGGAUUACAAUCUACUCUGAUAUGACUGUAAUGAGUCAGGAUUUUACUCCAGUAGGUAACACUGGGAGAUCUGGGGAGCUGGAUAUGACGGGAAAAACUGUUUAGCCGCUCUCUUCCAGGGGCAGCCAGGCUUUGAACGGCAUCAAAAUCAAGUGCUUGCGCCCUGAGGAAGAAACAUCGGCCCAGGUCACCUCCUCUGGCACGAAAAGGCUCAAGUCCAGCCCAGCAGCUCCGACGUCCCCAACUUCGCCUCUUCCCGGUCCUUCUUGCACCGCUCGGGGACCAGGCUUUAAAAGUUUUCAUCUCCAAUUCGGCUGUUUGAUGGAUAUACCAAGAAAACAGCUGGCCAAUAUGUCCGGAGAUUUCAGGGUGAGAUCAGCACCAGUAGGGAGAAAAAAAAAAUAAACCAAAAAAGGAAAGUAAAAAGAAAACUUCAAAAGACAACAGCUUCCAGAAAAUGGCUUACAUCGAAACCAGUAUCCCGCCAAUUUAGUGCUUUUCUCAGGAGCUUAUAAACAUAUACAUGCAUGUAUACGUAUAUAUGCAAUUCUCAAGUGGUUUUGAGGCUUGCAAUGUCCUGACUUCAACUGCGCAGGCUGGUGCUCAGAGCCAUAUUUCAGGCCAAAGCAGAGGAAAAAAAGAAAAAGAAAAAAAAAUAGAAAGGCAAAAAAAAAAAAAGAAAAUAAAAAAGAAAGGGAAAAAAAAAAAAAAAAGAAAAAAUAUGGGGGGAAAGUCCAAAAUUGCGUCAAGGUUAUAAUCCACCCCUGACCCUUCUAGGGUUUUGUAUCAAAGCUGAAGCUCCACCACAUCUUGCUGAUCGAUUUCAUAACCAGAAAAAGAUUGCUCCAAUUAUAAUGAAAAGCGUAGGAAAGAGUAAGAAUUAGAUCGCCCUUCCUUCACAGGAGACAGGUCCGCAUUCCCCAACAGAUCCAGGACCUGGCCUUGCCUGCAGGGACACCGAGUGCUCCGAGCUGGUUGGUUCCAUUGCAGCGGAUUAUGCCCUGGAACGUACGAUCAAAGCUUGACUUUCCACCAAGGCUGAGUUUUAUAAGGUCAUUUCCCCCUUACUAUUUGGAAAAAGGAAUUCAAACUUUUAGAAAUAAUGAUAGUUCAGAAAUUCAUUUUAGGAGUGGGUAAGAGAGGGGAAACAAAACAGUCAUUAAAGAAAAACAAUAACUUGGCAUGCAUAAUACUUCGUAUAAUAUCACGUUACAGGUUCGCUUGCAUAAUCAGACAUACAGCUCCCCAGUCUGUUCCCAUCUGAUUAUUUUUCUUUGCUUCCUUUUUAAUUGCCAGUGAAUUAUUAAUCGAUUACACAAACCGAUCCCGUAAGAGACGGACAAGUCGAGGUGCGCUUUCCUCAACCUCUUCAGGAGACCAAAAAAAAGAGUGGCAAAUCCACUUGUAAAAUACAGUAUGUAGAAUUACAUAUAUACGUGUAUAUAUAAAACCGUGUAUUUUAGCCGAUAAUUUGCCAGGGAAAUAAAUCGAAAACAAAGAAACCAAAUCCUCACAGCUCGGAUUUCAGCAGGGCGAAUUCUUUCCAACACUUUGCCUUCAAGUUGUUUCAAAUCAAAACUUCUGCAUCGAGAAGGACCGGGGGCACCAGCACAUGCUUGGGUGUCGGUAGUAUGGAAAUGAGAGUAACGAUGGGAGCGGGAUAUGUAAGUGGCUAAAACAAAGGGCCCUGGAGAAGCUGCUGGAGGCCGGGAUCAGCAGGGCUCCCCGCUCUGCACGGAAAGCUGCUGGGGCGGCGGGGGUACCGAAAGGUUUCCCCCGUAGGAGCUCCGGCCGGGCCGCCAGAUGCCCGGGGAAGGUCUCACGGCCGCGGCGGGGCCCCGAGGCUCGGCCGCCCGUGGGGUGGGGGCGGCCGGAAAGCGCCGGCGGUGCCGUACAUUCGUGUCACGCUCGGCAGCUCCGCGGGAUGCGGCAGGAAGGCUCGGGGGAGUCUGUAAAUCCCUCGGAAAACGCCGGUCUGCGCCAGCCCGGGGCCGGGGCGGCGGUGAGGGUUUUGCCGCUGCCACGGGGCUGGAUUUUCUUUGGAUGCGCGGCGGUGGGAGCCCCGCCGACCUGAUCCCUGUGCAUGGCUGGGGUCUUUCGAGUCCUUUCGGCUCCCUCCGGGCUGCCGCACGUCGCUCCGAGUUAACCCCAAGAGUAAGUUUAUUGCACGUUAAAAAAAAAAAAAAAA